rnacentral:lncRNA from 1 species
GAAACCACGCAAGCUUGGCUCUUUGUUCCAUACUCAUCUGAAAUUUCUUGUGAACUGGAGCAUGAUAUAUAGGCUUAGGAUGCAUCAGGAAAGAAGCUUCUACUAGUGUACAUGCCCAACAAGCUCUUAUUUGUUAAGGCGCUAGAAGAUUAGAACUUACUCGGUCUAGUUUCAAAUUAACAGAUUGGAUGAUCUAAGGAUAGUGUAGAAGCUUUUUGUUCAAAAUCACAAUAAAGAUAUAUGAUCAAAACCUUAAUAAUUUGUCUUUGUUAUUACAAAUACUGGAACACAGUCAUCAGUUAUAGCCAACACUCAUCACUGUCGGUUCGGCGGAUAGUUAUUGAGUAUAGUAACUAUCGGUCUAUGCCAGGUUAAUUCGGGCAGUCCGGCAAUUUUGCCUGGUAUCACCAAUUGUCCAUGCGAACAGAAAAAGUUCAGUACUUGGGCUUCUCUAUAUACUAUAUACUAGUUAGCGUGCACGUGCCCUUGCAACAAUAUCGAAUAGUAAAUACUUUACAUAUAUGGAACAGAAAAAACUUAACCUUUACCAUAACAAUAGAGAGAAACAAAUCGAUUAUUUUUUUUCUAAAAAACAAACAAUCAAAUAAUAUAUCACCGAUAAUUGUUUACGGCCCAUUGCCAUCUCCGCCUAAUGAACGCCUUGCAUGUUGGCCCCAAGCCACACUCUUUUUUAGGCAGAGAGAAUUCAGUUGUUUUAUUUAGUAUUUAUAAUUAUCCAAAAUGGUGCUACUGUUUGUUAAUGGUGGUGCAAACAAUUGCUUUGCUGGUCCAGUUUAAAAUCGGAUGAUUAACGGAAGCAUUAGCUAGUGGUGACAGGGAUAAAUCUCCGAGAAAAAUGGCAUAAAGCAACAAUACUCGAAGAGGCUCGCAUUGAUGCUAUGUAAGAGAAAAUUUGAUUAUGAAAUACAAGUUACAAAUUAUCAUAGUCAUGUAACUGUUUGCUAGUGUUUAUGCAAAUGGUCAUUUCUUUCAUUACGGUUUGAUUAGAUAAUUACUAACAGCAUCAUUAGGUUGCUAAAUUGGAUGGUUGCUAACAACAUCAUUAGGUUGCUGUGAUAAUAUGAUCGUUCUGCAAGAAAAGGUUGCAGUUAUAGUGAUGAAGUUGUGAGCCAAAAGGAAGAAUACAGGCACAGUGACAUCUGUCACGCUGAUGGUACUGAAGUACGCAAAUCUGUUUACAAAUUGUAGCAAAUUUUUGUCAUUUUUCAGUUGAGGUAGAUGUGAGAGGCGACGUCUUGAAUGAAUGAGCUAGUUGAAGCUCUAAAGCAGCCUGGUUUGAGCACCUGCAAACAAAACCACACCUCCAGCUAUCAAUCAAUCAGCUUCUGGACUUGCCAAAAUUACUAUAUGAAAAUCUUGAAAUGGUC